UUUUUUUUUUUUUUUUUUUUUUUUUUUUUUUUUGUCUUUUUGCCUUUUCUAGGGCAGCUCCUGCGGCACAUGUUGGUUCCCAAGCUAGGGGUCCAAUUGGAGCUGCAGCCGCCAGCCUACACCAGAGCCACAGCAAUGCUGGAUCCUAGCUUCAUCUGCGACCUACACCACUGCUCACAGCAAAGCCAGAUCCUUAAUCCAUUGAGUGAGGCCAGGGAUCGAACCCAUAACCUCAUGGUUCCUAGUCAGAUUUCUUAACCACUGCAGCAGGACGGGAACUCCUGAUUGGAUUAUUUUAAAUGUAAAUGGUACGUAUGCUUGUUUCAGCAGUGUCAGUAAUCUGCCUGAAAAUAACUCUGCUCUCACUUAUGCUUGGGUAGAGUCUUGCAGUAUUUAACCCUAUGAGACUUACACAGCAAAGAUUAUUUAUCCCCACCCCCUAGAUAAGGAAAUAGAAUCCAUAAGCAUGAAAGCUCCAGGAACUCAUUUUCUUCUACUAGGCUACUGUCUACUCUCAACAAUUUCCAUUAGGAAUUCCCUAGGCACAUAAGGCAGAAGGGUAUACACUAAAUUCUCUGAGGGUGCCUUAUAAAGCUAGAAUGAGGGCUGUUACCCUGUUUAUCUUGAUGCAUCCUUGAUUUGCCCUGGGAAAAUAGACAAGAACCUUUCACAGGCUAAACCCAAGUUGUCAGCUGACUGAAUGCAGACAACUCUCAAUACUGAACUUAAACUCUAAGCAAAAUAAUAUCCAUAAUAAUUGUAACUAUUAAUAGAGUUCUUGUGACCUCAUAUGUUCUUUAUAUGCUGUAACAAUAAAGUACGUUAAUUUUUAAAUAAAAAAUAAGGAUUUUAUUUAAUCCUUACAAUAAGCAAGGUUAGUAGUUAUAAUUAAUUUCUUUAUUAAAAAUGAGGAAACUGAGUUUUGGAAGAAUUGAGGGCUUUGAUGAAAAUAAUGUGAUGAAGUUCACACAGCUAUUAAAUAAUGGGUACAGAAACAAAGUCAGGUCUGUUCUAAAGCUUGUAUUAUCUCAACGAUUUCGUUACAGUGAUAAGGGAGAUUUCAGUUCAGAAGGCAGAGGAUACCAAUAAAUACCAGAGCGCUUCAAACCCAGAUAAUCUUUUGUUCUUAUGAGCUACACUACAAAAUAUAAGCCUUUGCAUCUAUUCAUACCAUACACAUCAUUUGACAGUAUAAAAUGCUCUUAUAUUUAAUACUAUAUUGAUCAUUAAUGGCUUAAUCCAUUCGUAUACUAUCACUGAAAUAAAAUUAUGCCCGGCUCUGGCCAGGGAAAUUUAUGGUUAUUGUUAAAAUUCAUGAAUUUCUCAAAUGCUAUUUACAAUUCACAUAGAUUGUACUACAUUUAAUAGCACUUUUACACUAAAUUAUUUCUUCUAUAGAACAUAAAAAUGAAAAAUAUUUUGUAUUCUGAAUUCAACAUGCAUUCUCUAUGCUGUAUUAUAAAUUUUGUAAAUUUAAGAAAUCUUUUAUUAAGCAAUUUGCUUAAGAGUUUUAGUCAAGGAUUUAAAUAAGUCAUCCUGGAAGGCACCCCUUCAAAAAAGGUCUUCUCUACCCAUUUCCUCCAGAAUAUAAAAGGCUAUUAAAGUUUUUCAAGCACUUAAAGGCCCAAACAGAUUGUCCUUUUAUUUUUUUUCAAAUAAAACAAUUCAAGCUUUUAAAAUCUUAACACAGGCUGGUUAUACAGCUAUUUAUUUUUAGAAAAAUGUUAAUUCUCAAGCUAAAUAAAAUCUUAAAGAGAAGGACAGUUAUCCAAGGGAAACUGCACCUUUCUUUUGUUUCUCUGGCAAUCGUCAUUUGCCAGCAGUCAUUCAUAAGCAUCCAGCUUGAUAGUACAUUAUAACAAAGAUAAGUCAUUGCAAUCCUUCUCUUGAUCUUGCAACAACCCACUGUGGAAAAAGUCAAAUAACCUUUAGCUCUCUAUUUCAUCUUCUUCCUUAUGUCCUGCUCCUCUAGCCACUUAAAAACUUAAAAGUAUAAAAUACUGAGGAGGAUUCUAUGAUUGAAAAGAUAAAUCCUUUUAAAAAGGAAAACACACUUAGGCAGCUGCAAGCAAAAUCGCUGGAGUUUCUAUGGAUAACACGUAGCACCUGAGAACCAUAAAGGCUCAGGGAAGGCACUGCAAAACUAAAUAUAUUUGUCUGUUUCUACAUCAUUAGACAUGGAAUUCGUACUCCUAGUCCAAUAGUCAUUGCGGCAGCAGCCACACAGCAUUCAGCCAUUCAUUUAUCAACUGCAUUAUUCCAUUGCUUAAUUGGGAGAAAACACACCUGCAAAGAUGAUCUCACUAUAACAUAAACAAGAGAUGCUUCUCAGAUUGGAAGAAAAUGUUGAAUCAAGCAAUUAGUAAAUGGAAGAUUAGGCAACUAGAAUGUAGAAACCUUCCACUUGCUUGGUUAUACAAGUAAGCAUGUUCUAGAAGAUUAAAAUAAAUCCAGGUGGGCUUAAAAAUUCCAGUUACAGAUUCAGAAAGCAUCAAUCACUGGGCCUGAAGGAAAUGCAGUAACCUGCCUCCAAAGGCUAUAGAAUUUACAAGGGUUCAAUAAAUACUCAACAAUAUAAGCUAAUAGCAAAUAAGCUAUAAAUUAAAAACAUCUUUCUAUUUGGCCACAAAUGCACUGAUUUACAGAUUAGUAGAUAUGCUAAUUAUACAUUACUUAGGUAAACAGAAAAUUAGACCACCUUCCCUAGGCAGACAUCAGCUGACACGAGGAAUGGGCUUUUAGAGGUAUGCACAGAGGCAAAGGGAAAUCAUCUUAGAAUUAAUGAACAUGUGGAUAAUGAAGAGUUAAUUACAUGAGCUUGGCUACAGGAAGAUGCUUGAAUCCCUGUUAAUUUAUUGAAGUGGGCACCAACACUGUGUUUGGGGAAUUAGCCAGGAAAUGAAGCAGGUGACAUGAAUAAAUGAAACCUGCAAAAUGUGUUACUGUGAAGUCUGUUUAGGAACUAGAAUUUUUGUGAGCCUAAUUAUUUGCAAAGCUGUACUGUGCACAUCGUCAAACUCCUUAUUUUCUAUCCUUGACUUAGAUGAGAUUUCUUGCAUAACAGGAAGAACCAUUUUACUAAAAAAUAUAGCAUUUUUCUAUUUCAGUUUCAUUUGGGGUAUAAAAUUGAAUGGAAAUCUACAUAUUUACAUAUCAACCAUUAGUGAAGACUGGGUUUACAGAUAAGCUUUUUCCACUUCUUUUGCUUGUGAGUGAUUUUUUUUAAGUCUGGUGAAUAAAAAGCUAUCGCAUAAAGUGCUUAACUAAAUCAAUUUAUUCCCACCUGCACAAUUUUAGAAGCUCAAUUACAUAUUUCAUCUGCUGAGGUGCCCACAGUAGUAUUUGCUUCUUUAGAAGGCAGACCAUGUCAAUGACUGCCAUUAUAGUGAAAAUUCUUUGUUAUACCUAAAGCUUUCUAUGUAUUCCAACUCUCUGCACUUUAUAGAAGAGAAAUAAUUAGCAAGAUAAAUGCGAUGUAUAUUUCUAAAAUCUCUUAUACUUUUCUAAAAAUCUCACCCAAAAAAGUAACAUUUGAAUCCUGCAACGUGGGGAGCCAGAUGCAUUAUGUAUAUAUGAGCAGGAUCACAUAGUAUAGAAGAUAACGGGCAACCUAAAGUUACUGUUUGUGAUGCCUAAAAGCCCCUGGCUACUUGAAAAUCUAAAACACAUGGAUAAUUAGUCUUAAUUCAUACUGUAGGAAGUAUUCAAGGUGGGAGGGAAAAAGUAUUAAAUAUAGGAAGGAAGCAAGUCACUGAGCUUGGCGAAUGAGCCUAGACAGACACACAUCUUCGUUUCAAAACCAGUUUGCUUUUUUCUACCAUGUGCAAUAGCUAGAGUUAACAUAGGAAUUUAUAUAUGAGAGUGGUUUUCUUAGAAAAGCUGAUCACUUGUAAGGGAUCAUGGACAUCUAAAGCACCAAGGGAAAUAACUCCUGGUGUUAGAAAAAGAGCUGCUAACAGACCCCAGUCUCUCAGCACUAUGCUGCAGCCUCUUCACUACACAGGUCUGUUACAGUAGCCCAUUCCAGAUGUCAAGAUAAUUCCUGGCAACAAGUAAGGAGUAUGUGGACACCAUUACUCAUCCGUCCCAGGAAAACCAAUGCAGCAUGACUUGAAACAAUCAAAAGAACAAAAACAAAAUUUUAGUUCUCAUGGAAAGAAUCAGGCAUGGUUUAAAGUACUUAUAUCUGAAAUUUGAAAAAUUUUUGAAGAAAGUAGAUACUUCAGAAAUACUUAAAAGUAUAAUUAGCCUCUCAUUGGCCCUUCUAAGAAACCCUGAUACACAGGACUAUAAAUGUUCAAAAUAAUGUCUUGAUAAUUCUGGAAAUACCAUGUAUCAUCCUUGCCAUAAUUCCAUCUUUGGUAUCUAUUUAACUACAGUUUUGUUUUUUGUUUCUUUGGCCUUUUUAUCUUUUAGGUCCUCACCCAUGACAUACGGAAGUUCCCAGGCUAGGGCAAUCGGAACUUAGCUGCCAGCCUAUGCCAGAGCCAUAGAAACGUGGGAUCUGAGUUACAUCUGUGAUAUACACCAUAGCUCAUGUCAACACCUCAUCCUGGACUCACCGAGCAAGGCCAGGGAUAGAACCCACGUCUUCAGAGAUGCCAACUGCAUUCACUAACCACUGAGCCAUGACUGGAACUCCAUACACUACUAUAGUUUUAGUAUUAGAAAUGUCACCACAGUUAGUGGCCUCUAAAAGUUAGUUUCGAAAUACGUAACAAGCAAUCAAUUCUACAAAUGUCAAGCAAAUGUUUGCACACUGAUUCUUUACUAUGGUAUCAUAGAUACAUAAGAAAUCCUAGUUAAAUGAACUUCACAAACAUGUGAAAGUUAUUUUGAGAAGAAUCCUUUUUUAAAAAUCACUGCUUAUGGACGUUCCCGUGUGGCACAGCAGGUUAAGGAUCCAGCGUUGCCACAGCUGAAGCACAGAUUUGACCUCUGAUCUCUGGCCCAGUAACUUCCAUAUGCCAUAGCUGUG
rnacentral:lncRNA from 1 species